rnacentral:rRNA from 1 species
AAUAGAUACCCCGGUAGUCCUAGCCCUAAACGAUGUAGACUUGGCGUCGGUGGCUUAAACGCCAUCGGUGUCGUAGCUAACGCGAUAAGUCUACCGCCUGGGGACUACGGCCGCAAGGUUAAAACUCAAAGGAAUUGACGGGUCCCCGCACAAGCAGCGGAGCGUGUGGUUUAAUUCGUUGCUACACGAAGAACCUUACCUGGGUUUGACAUAGCAGUGGUAGGGAAGCGAAAGCAGACCGACCCUUUGGGGAGCUGUUACAGGUGUUGCAUGGCUGUCGUCAGCUCGUGUCGUGAGAUGUUCGGUUAAGUCCGCUAACGAGCGCAACCCUCGCUGUGUGUUACAAGUGUCACACGGUACUGCCGGUAUUAAGUCGGAGGAAGGUGGGGAUGACGUCAAGUCAGCGUGACCUUUAUAUCCAGGGGCUACACACACGCUACAAUGGUCAGUACAACAGGUUGCCAAGCCGCGAGGCGGAGCCAAUCCUAAAAGCUGGCCUCAGUUCAGAUUGCAGUCUGCAACUCGACUGCA